AAUAAGUUAAUUAAGAGCGUAAGGUGGAUGCCUUGGCUCUCAGAGGCGAUGAAGGACGUGAUAAGCUGCGAUAAGCUACGGGGAUUGGCACACACAAUUUGAUCCGUAGAUUUCCGAAUGGGGAAACCCACUAUAUUGAAGAUAUAGUAUCCGUUAAGGAAGCAAACCCAGGGAACUGAAACAUCUAAGUACCUGGAGGAAUAGAAAACAAAAGUGAUUCCGCUAGUAGUGGCGAGCGAACGCGGAACAGCCCAAACCAAAAUUGUUUCGGCAAUUUUGGGGUUGUAGGACCACGAUAUUGAAUGUUUAAUGAAUUAGAAUUCUUUGGAAA
rnacentral:rRNA from 1 species